rnacentral:rRNA from 1 species
GACGAACGCUGGCGGCGUGCUUAACACAUGCAAGUCGAACGGAAAGGCCCUGCUUUUGUGGGGUGCUCGAGUGGCGAACGGGUGAGUAACACGUGAGUAACCUGCCCUUGACUUUGGGAUAACUUCAGGAAACUGGGGCUAAUACCGGAUAGGAGCUCCUGCUGCAUGGUGGGGGUUGGAAAGUUUCGGCGGUUGGGGAUGGACUCGCGGCUUAUCAGCUUGUUGGUGGGGUAGUGGCUUACCAAGGCUUUGACGGGUAGCCGGCCUGAGAGGGUGACCGGCCACAUUGGGACUGAGAUACGGCCCAGACGCCUGCGGGAGGCAGCAGUGGGGAAUAUUGCACAAUGGGCGGAAGCCUGAUGCAGCAACGCCGCGUGCGGGAUGACGGCCUUCGGGUUGUAAACCGCUUUCGCCUGUGACGAAGCGUGAGUGACGGUAAUGGGUAAAGAAGCACCGGCUAACUACGUG